rnacentral:rRNA from 1 species
GACGAACGCUGGCGGCGUGCUUAACACAUGCAAGUCGAACGGAAAGGCCCUGCUUUUGUGGGGUGCUCGAGUGGCGAACGUGUGAGUAACACGUGAGUAACCUGCCCUUGACUUUGGGAUAACUUCAGGAAACUGGGGCUAAUACCGGAUAGGAGCUCCUGCUGCAUGGUGGGGGUUGGAAAGUUUCGGCGGUUGGGGAUGGACUCGCGGCUUAUCAGCUUGUUGGUGGGGUAGUGGCUUACCAAGGCUUUGACGGGUAGCCGGCCUGAGAGGGUGACCGGCCACAUUGGGACUGAGGUACGGACCAGACUCCAAAGGGAGGCAGCAGUGGGGAAUAGUGCAAGAUGGGAGGAAGCCUGAUGCAGCAACGCCGCGUGCGGGAUGACGGCCUUCGGGUUGUAAACCGCUUUCGCCUGUGACGAAGCGUGAGUGACGGUAAUGGGUAAAGAAGCACCGGCUAACUACGUG